rnacentral:lncRNA from 1 species
ACAUCCAAAAACCACAGCAAUUAGACAAAUAAAUUGUGAAAGAUGUGGUUUCCAGGUAAGAUAUGUGACAGGCUUCUUACUGCAAAUAGUUUUUCUUACAAAAGGAGAAAGACUGGUGGGAGAGAUGGUGGAAAAAAUGAAAACAAUGUUUCUUUUAUGAUUCUCUGGGCCCAUCCUCACAGGACUUCAUAUGUAGUGAAGGCAGAAUAUUUACCUCAAGCCCAGAUGACCAACUUUUACUUUCUACACUGACUCAGGCUUCUUACUAAAAAUGGUGUUUCACCAUUUAUUCCACUAACAUCACUUUUUAAUUCUUAAAAUAAAAAAGAAUAGUUUUAUUCAUAAAACUACAUGGGCCUACUUGUGUGGAAUGUGAUUUAAAAAUGAUGUUAGCAAUACUUGUUACUUAUUUUACUAGUUUUAGCUUUGUUAGUGCUGAAGGAUGUUUUAUAGUUUUCUAAAAUUGUAAACAUUUUUGAUGUGUAAGCCAGUCACCCUUAAAAGCACAUUUGGCUAAAUAAAGCAUUAGGUUAGAGAA